UACGUAGGGCGCAAGCGUUGUCCGGAAUUAUUGGGCGUAAAGAGCUCGUAGGCGGCUUGUCACGUCGGGUGUGAAAGCCCGGGGCUUAACCCCGGGUCUGCAUUCGAUACGGGCUAGCUAGAGUGUGGUAGGGGAGAUCGGAAUUCCUGGUGUAGCGGUGAAAUGCGCAGAUAUCAGGAGGAACACCGGUGGCGAAGGCGGUUCUCUGGGCCUGACCUGACGCUGAGGAGCGAAAGCGUGGGGAGCGAACAGG
rnacentral:rRNA from 1 species